rnacentral:rRNA from 1 species
AGGCCUUCGGGUCGUAAGCUCUGUUGUUAGGGAAGAACAAGUACCGGAGUAACUGCCGGUACCUUGACGGUACCUAACCAGAAAGCCACGGCUAACUACGUGCCAGCAGCCGCGGUAAUACGUAGGUGGCAAGCGUUGUCCGGAAUUAUUGGGCGUAAAGCGCGCGCAGGCGGUCCUUUAAGUCUGAUGUGAAAGCCCACGGCUCAACCGUGGAGGGUCAUUGGAAACUGGGGGACUUGAGUGCAGAAGAGGAAAGCGGAAUUCCACGUGUAGCGGUGAAAUGCGUAGAGAUGUGGAGGAACACCAGUGGCGAAGGCGGCUUUCUGGUCUGUAACUGACGCUGAGGCGCGAAAGCGUGGGGAGCAAACAGGAUUAGAUACCCUGGUAGUCCACGCCGUAAACGAUGAGUGCUAAGUGUUAGGGGGUUUCCGCCCCUUAGUGCUGCAGCUAACGCAUUAAGCACUCCGCCUGGGGAGUACGGCCGCAAGGCUGAAACUCAAAGGAAUUGACGG